rnacentral:rRNA from 1 species
UACGUAGGGCGCAAGCGUUGUCCGGAAUUAUUGGGCGUAAAGAGCUCGUAGGCGGUUUGUCGCGUCUGCUGUGAAAACCUAAGGCUCAACCUUGGGCUUGCAGUGGGUACGGGCAGACUAGAGUGCGGUAGGGGUGACUGGAAUUCCUGGUGUAGCGGUGGAAUGCGCAGAUAUCAGGAGGAACACCGGUGGCGAAGGCGGCGACCUGGGUAGAUACUGACGCUGAGGUGCGAAAGCGUGGGGAGCAAACAGG